rnacentral:rRNA from 1 species
GAGAGACGGAGAAGGCUAGGUGAGCCGGGCGACGGUUGUCCCGGUUUAAGCGAGUAGGGAGUGGACUUAGGCAAAUCCGGGUCCACAAUCCCGAGACGUGACGACGACUGCUCAUAGAGCGGGAAGUCAUUGAUGCCAUGCUUCCAGGAAAAUCUUCUAAGCUUCAGGCUAUUCGAGACCGUACCCCAAACCGACACAGGUGGUCAGGUAGAGAAUACUAAGGCGCUUGAGAGAACUCGGGUGAAGGAACUCGGCAAAAU